AAGGGCUCAAAAAGAUGUGUCACAGAUAGAGGAGGGAGGAGGAGAAAAUGGAGGAGUUUUGUGCCAAAUGCUGAGAAAGAGGAGUCUCAGGAAGAGUGGAGAAAGAAAGAUGCAGGUGGACAUCUAGUGAAGUGCUUGUUUGAGAUGUGGGCUUUGUACCUGUCUCCUGAAGGUGACUGUAAAUGAAGUGCAACACAUGAAUGUAUUCCUCCUGAGAAAUGCAAUGAACUAUUUUUCCAUCGAUUGCAGUAAGAUUUCAUCAUACAGUGAAAUCAUUCUUCUGAUUCUUUCCAGCUUCAACAGUAAGUGACCUUGGAGAACCCUUGGAGAACCCCCAGCCAGCAGUGCCAGACCUUGGAUCAGGCCCAUGAGAAUGCAAUGCUGUGGAAAAUGAAUCACCUCCAUUUCUCCAGCAAGGUUAGAAGAUAAGGCAUAAUUAAAGAAACAGAAGGCUUGCAUGUUCUGACAAGGAGUGGCAGAAAUACUGAACCCUUCUUCUCUAACAGCAAUAGGAGGCUAAAAGGAGCUGCUCAUGUAUCUGAAGACAGCCCCUAGGCUCUACAAGUUUGCUAACUUCCCAGCCAACAAGUGAAUGUUUCUCUUCUCAGUUUUUAUCAUUCACUGCCUACUCCGGGUACAUCCUCUGUUAAUCCAGAAGCCUUAAGAGAAAGCAUCACUCUCCUCAACCCCCUGAUCAUGGAAAUCUAAGCUGUGUGUAUGGGUUUAUAUGUUGCAUUUAGGGGAACGUGUGUGACCCAGAGUUAUCAAGGGAUGCACUGAAUGUUGAUCUCAGAAGGCCCAGAUUAGCUUGAGGUCCCCUGGAUUUCCUCUGCUUCUCUCUACAACAGAAGGAGCAUAGGAUGAGAAGAUGUGGUGCUGGUGGCAAGAUAACAUAUAGCAAAGAGUUUCCAGGCUUCAGUCAACUGAGGACAGCCCAAAAAAUUAUGCUGUAUAUCAGUGGGGACAGAUCUGCUCUCCCGCUCUCAGACGCCCUUUUGAUACUGAAAGGCUGCUGUUAGGUCUCCCCAGAGCCUUCUCUUCUUGAGGCUGAACAGCCCCAGCUCUCUCAGCCUGUCCUUGCGAGGGAGGUGUUCCAUCCCUUGGAUCAUUUUUGUGACCCUUUUCUGGAUGCACUCGAACGAUCCAUGUCUCUUCUGAACUGAGGAUUCCACAUCUUUACACCAGUACUGAAGGUACAGCAAACACCAGUACAGAGCAUCUUCAGAACAAAGAGGAAGGAAUCCACUUUCAACAACCGGAGAUUAGUCCAUGAUCUGAAAACUUGCUAAGUGUGGACAAUGAGGAGAUUAACUCCAAAGCCAGACAAAAGUAAAUCACAAAGGACUUUUGGGGAAGUUCCUGUCUAAAAGCUCGCAUGAAGUAAGUCAGAGCUCUUGUCGCUUCGGAUUUCGCUACUGUAAAGUCCCUCUGGAGGGACCACAUGACGAGCGUAAUUCACGCUUUCAGCUUUUGGACACCAGGCGUAUUUCUCGGGCAGAACUCGCCGUGUGACUUCGGGGCGCCCACCUCCCAGCCCGCCCUCGCCGUGCAGCGGGCGAGAUGUCCGCGUUCCGUGACCGCUGCGGGCAUCGUUCUCGUCUUCGGGGCAGACGUGCCGAACACACGCUCCCUCGUCCUUCGGUGCGUUCCUUCACUCAUCCAGCAGCGCCCUAAGCUCCCCGCCUUCCAAGCCCUCUGCUCCACCGACCGCUGUGAGCUUUCCUUUUGGCUACGCAGCCAGCGCAACGGGCAUUUCUAUCUUUCAAGCUCGCGAUUUGCGAUACUCCCACCCGACACACGCCUCGACCGCGGACACAGAACGCGGGGAGGGGCGGGGGGGGGCGGCCGGCACGGGGCUCGCCGUGCUCCCCAACCCCACGGUCCCGCUCCCCCUCGG
ensembl:lncRNA